GAUGAACGCUGGCGGCGCGCCUAACACAUGCAAGUCGAACGGUUAAAGCACCUUUUAGGUGUGUAUAAAGUGGCGAACGGCUGAGUAACACGUGGGCAACCUGCCCUCCUCUUGGGGAUAGCCUCGGGAAACCGAGGAUAAUACCCGAUACUUCAAUGUGGCCGCAUGACGACAUUGAGAAAGCUUUUGCGGAGAAGGAUGGGCCCGCGGCCUGUUAGCUUGUUGGUGGGGUAGAGGCCUACCAAGGCAAUGAUGGGUAGCUGGGUUGAGAGACCGACCAGCCAGAUUGGGACUGAGACACGGCCCAGACUCCUACGGGAGGCAGCAGUGGGGAAUCUUGCACAAUGGGCGAAAGCCUGAUGCAGCGACGCCGCGUGCGGGACGAAGGCCUUCGGGUUGUAAACCGCUUUCAGCAGGGACGAGGCGAUAAGUGACGGUACCUGCAGAAGAAGCCCUGGCUAACUACGUG
rnacentral:rRNA from 1 species